ACGUAGGAGGCGAACGUUAUCCGGAUUUACUGGGCGUAAAGCGCGUGUAGGUGGUUUGGUAAGUAGGGCGUGAAAGCUCCUGGCUCAACUGGGAGAGGCCGUUCUAAACUGCCGAACUAGAGGAUGGUAGAGGGAGGUGGAAUUCCGGGUGUAGGGGUGAAAUGCUCUGAUAGCCGGAGGAACACCAGUGGCGAAGGCGGCUAACUGGACCACUCCUGACUGUGAGUCGCGAAAGCUAGGGGAGCAAACGG
rnacentral:rRNA from 1 species